rnacentral:other from 1 species
GCUAACCUGCAGUAUCUAGUCUAACCAAAUAGUUUUUAACCAACACUAUAUAUACGGGAGUUUGCGUCUUGACGGCUAUGUUAGACCACCAAAGCAGUGGAAAACAGAACUUACAAGCAGAACACCCACCUGCUGAGGCAGGUUAAAAACGUGCGGUUGACUUAUACCGUGGGCAAUAA